UAAUACAUGCAAGUUGAGCGCUGAAGGUUGGUACUUGUACCGACUGGAUGAGCAGCGAACGGGUGAGUAACGCGUGGGGAAUCUGCCUUUGAGCGGGGGACAACAUUUGGAAACGAAUGCUAAUACCGCAUAAAAACUUUAAACACAAGUUUUAAGUUUGAAAGAUGCAAUUGCAUCACUCAAAGAUGAUCCCGCGUUGUAUUAGCUAGUUGGUGAGGUAAAGGCUCACCAAG
rnacentral:rRNA from 1 species